GCAAAAAAAAAAAGAAAAAAAAACAGUUGUUUUUUUCCCUUAUAUAGAUUUUAAUUCUAGGCUUUACAUUUUGGACUUUUGAGGAUUGGGUUAGAUGAUACAAAUGUGGACUACUGGGAUAAGACCCACAAUAAAGGAUGAAAUGACAGAGGAAGAAAAGAUUGGGCCAGGCCAGUAUAAUUAUAUGAAAAAGAGUUGGGUGGGUGAGGAGCCCAAGACAAUAAUUUCCAAUCCAGCAAUUCUCCACCCACAAAGAGAAAUACUGAGAAUUUUAUUAUCAGAAAAAGGACGAAGAGAAGGGAAGAGAAGCGAAGGCAAGCAAGGCGAAGCGAAGUCGGAGGGUUUCGUUACUGGUACGACGCCUCUUCUUCUCCUUCUAUGUGUUGAUUUUUACUAAACUUUUUACAUUACUGUGAAAAAUUUCAAGCUAUUAUUCUGUUCCGUGCUAGGGUUUUCAGAAGAAUUGGAUUUCAAAGAGCUUUUUUUUUUUUUUUUUUUUUUUUUUUAAAUUUGUUUACUUCUUUCAUUUAUCGAUUUAAUAAAAUACCCCCUGCUUUUGUUUUAGCAAAUAAUUGGCCUUUUUAUUUUCGAAUUUUGAUGAUAAAAGUCUCUCUCUUGUUAUUUCAUUUGUAUAAAUAAAAUGUUUCUUUCAGAUGGACAUCCUCAAGAUGCAUAGACAGUUCUGUAAACUGCCGUUGCUUGCUAAAAUUUCUAUCUUUCCGGUGUCUGUAGUUACUCUGAUGGGUAUCGGCGCUCUGAUUGCUCAUGAGAGAAAUCAACUCGUGAAAUAUCUCCAAAAAUGGUUUGUCUUCUUCCCUUGAAACUUCAAUAGAUUCUUUUCUCUUUAUCUAUUGGUCUCACCUUGUAUCAGGUGGAUAGUUAAAUAUCUCACCUUGACGUGUGCUCUUCAUAAUGGUCUAUAAAUUCCAAUACUAUGUCUUUGUGAUGUGUUGUUUCUC